rnacentral:rRNA from 1 species
GACGAACGCUGGCGGCGUGCUUAACACAUGCAAGUCGAACGGAAAGGCCCUGCUUUUGUGGGGUGCUCGAGUGGCGAACGGGUGAGUAACACGUGAGUAACCUGCCCUUGACUUUGGGAUAACUUCAGGAAACUGGGGCUAAUACCGGAUAGGAGCUCCUGCUGCAUGGUGGGGGUUGGAAAGUUUCGGCGGUUGGGGAUGGACUCGCGGCUUAUCAGCUUGUUGGUGGGGUAGUGGCUUACCAAGGCUUUGACGGGUAGCCGGCCUGAGAGGGUGACCGGCAAAAUUGGGAAGGAAAAGCGGCCAGGACUCAUAGGGGAGGCAGAGGGGGGGAAUAUGAAAAAAGGGGAGGAGGCCUAAAGCAGAAACGCGGGGGGGGGGAUGAGGGCCUGGGGUUAUGAACCCGUUUGCGCCGGAGAGGAGGAGAGAGGGAGGGAAAUGGAAAAAGAAGAACCGGAAAACAACGGG